CUCCUGGCCUCAAGUGAUCUGCCCACCUCAGUUUCCCGAAGUGCUAGGAUUACAGAUGUGAGCUACCAUGCCCAGCCGACUCUCAUCAUUCCUUCCUUCCUUCCUUCCUUCCUUCCUUCCUUCUUUCCUUUCUUCCUUCCUUCUUUCCUUCUUUCCCUUUCUUUCUUUCUUUCUCUUUCUCUUCCUUCCUUCUUUCUCUCUUCCUUCUUUCUUUCUCUCUUUCCUUCCUUCCUUCUUUCUUUCUUUCUUUUCUUUCUUUCUUCCUUCCUUCCUUCC
rnacentral:lncRNA from 10 species